rnacentral:rRNA from 1 species
UACAGAGGGUGCAAGCGUUAAUCGGAAUUACUGGGCGUAAAGCGUGCGCAGGCGGUGAUGUAAGACAGUUGUGAAAUCCCCGGGCUCAACCUGGGAACUGCAUCUGUGACUGCAUCGCUGGAGUGCGGCAGAGGGGGAUGGAAUUCCGCGUGUAGCAGUGAAAUGCGUAGAUAUGCGGAGGAACACCGAUGGCGAAGGCAAUCCCCUGGGCCUGCACUGACGCUCAUGCACGAAAGGCGUGGGGAGCAAACAGG